UCUGAACUCAGAUCAUGUAAGAAUUUAAAGGUCGAACAGACCUAAUUACUGGGCUACUGCACCCAAAAUUUUUCUUAAUCCAACAUCGAGGUCGCAAUCUGCUUUGUCGAUAUGAGCUCUCAAAAACAAUUACGCUGUUAUCCCUAAGGUAACUUAAUCUUAUGAUCAUAAA